rnacentral:hammerhead_ribozyme from 1 species
GUAUUACUGAAGAGUCCCAAACUAGGACGAAACAGCUGUCCAGUAC